rnacentral:rRNA from 1 species
CCUACGGGAGGCAGCAGUAGGGAAUCUUCCACAAUGGGCGAAAGCCUGAUGGAGCAACGCCGCGUGGGUGAAGAAGGUCUUCGGAUCGUAAAACCCUGUUGUUAGAGAAGAAAGUGCGUGAGAGUAACUGUUCACGUUUCGACGGUAUCUAACCAGAAAGCCACGGCUAACUACGUGCCAGCAGCCGCGGUAAUACGUAGGUGGCAAGCGUUAUCCGGAUUUAUUUGGCGUAAAGGGAACGCAGGCGGUCUUUUAAGUCUGUUGUGAAAGCCUUCGGCUUAACCGGAGUAGUGCAUUGGAAACGGGGAGACUUGAGUGCAGAAGAGGAGAGUGGAACUCCAUGUGUAGCGGUGAAAUGCGUAGAUAUAUGGAAGAACACCAGUGGCGAAAGCGGCUCUCUGGUCUGUAACUGACGCUGAGGUUCGAAAGCGUGGGUAGCAAACAGGAUUAGAUACCCUUGUAGUC